CAUUUCACAAAAUAUAAUAAAAGAACUCUACACAAUUCCCUUGGAUUAUAAAUAAAAACAUGGUAAAUCUAGUUUAUACUCACAAGUUCUACUGUGGGGUAAUUCCCAUUUAUCCGAAUCUAGUGGUCGGGUACUCCAUUGCUCCUGGAAGCCGGUGAAUUACUAUCUAAAGAACAAAAAGACCAUUUUUGGGACUUCAUUGAUGCCUGGCAUCAUAGUGAGAAGGAUGAUGCUGAAUCUUAUACUGCUAAGGGCUGCCUAAAAAAAAUUGUAAAGCACGGACUCUCUAUUUUAAACGAACCAUUGGCAUCUUUGUUUGAAUUCUCCCUCAUGCUGAGAUCUACAUCUCCAAGAUUGGUUCUUUAUCGGCAAUUAGCUGAGGAGUCUCUGUCUUCUUUUCCUCUGGUUGAUGAAACUAAUUCAAGCAAUGACAGUGGAAUUUCUGAAAUAACUGAGCUUAUGGAAGGUAAAAGGUCAGAUCUUUUGAACAUUGGUCGAAACCCGAAGAGCCCUAAUGGGAAAUGUUGUUGGGUGGAUACUGGAGGUGCACUAUUCCUUGAUCCAGCAGACUUGAAAAUAUGGCUUCAAAGUCCAAGAGAUUCAUGAUUCUGGAGAUUCAUUUCAGCAGCCUGAACAUUUUGAAUUUGAUCACAUCCAUUUUGAUUCAAGUGUUGGAAGUCCUGUUGCUGUUCCUUAUGGAGCUCUUGGAACUGAUUGCUUUAGGGAGUUUCAUCUCACCCUAGUUGAAGCUGCAAAAGAGGGAAAAGCUAAGUAUGUUGUUAGACAAGUAUUACCUUCUGGCAGUGAUGCCAAGAUUGACCGUUGUGGUGCUGUUGGUACAAGAGAUUCAUUAAACUUGGGAGGCUAUGGAGUAGAACUUGCUUUGAAAAAUAUGGAAUAUAAGGCUAUGGAUGAUAGCGUUAUAAAGAAAGGUGUCACAUUAGAAGAUCCCAGGAUUGAAGAUCGCAGCCAAGAAGUCAGAGGGUUUAUAUUCUCCAAAAUUCUGGUUUGUUUUCCUUGAUAUACUAUAAUAGCACAAGUUACAAUAAAUUUUAUUAUUAAAAAGAUUCUGAGUUUUAAGCACACUCUUACUCUCUUUGGUUUUCGCUGGAAAGCUUAAUUUUUUUUUUACAUGAUGCCAUUGUAUUUUCCCUUUCACUAAUGACACAAAUUGAGUGCAAGAAUUUUCAUUAGUCUUAGACUGGGAAAAUAUCAAAACAAAUCCGGAAGAAGAAUUUGAAACAGCUUUUGUUUCAAUUUCUUUUGUUCUUUUGUUACAUUGAAAAGCUAUCGCUCCCUCUACGUCGACUUCCUCCUCGACUUCCCCAGCUCCAACACCGCGUCAGAUUACGAUAUCAUCCACAUUUCCUUCAACAUGACUAUGUAGCAACUUAGUUUGUUAGUAGAAAUGAAAAGCAAUUCCACCAAAAGAAGGGAAAGGCAAGACAAAAGAAAAGCUUAAAGCAGAAAAAAGUAGUAAAAAAUUAAAAAAAUGAACAUUGAAAUAAUGAGAAGAAGCAAGGGAAAUGGAGAAGAAGACACGGGCAAAGGGAUGAGACCUUGGGUCUUAUUUUUUAAGGAAGGUGUGACACAAAAACAAAGCUUCGUUACUUUGAUAACUUGGCCACUACCAAGACACCUCCCUUGGCAACUAUCCUCACCCAAAGAUUUGGUGGACUUCUACCAUAUACAACUACACCUUAGUACUCGAAAGUUUCGCGACUACUCAGUGACUUAGAUUUUUCAAGUUCCUAAUCGAGAAGUUUUGUUCACUCUGGAUACUUAUCCACACUAGUAACCGGAGCAAUCUAGCGAAAGUCACAAACUUGACCAAUGUCUCAUCUCUUUGCACGUGUCUUCUUUCCCAUUUACCUUGCUUUUUCUCAUUAUUUCACUGUUCAUUUUUUAAUUUUCUGCUACUUUUUUCUGCUUUUUGCUUUUCUUUUGUCUUGCCUUUCCCUUCUUUGGUGGAAUUGCUUUUCAUUUCCACUAACAAAUUGAGUUGUUGCAAAGUCAUAUUGAAGGAAUGUGGAUGAGGUCCUGCUCUGACGCGGUGUUGGAGUUGAGGAAGUCAAGGAAGGAGUCGACGUAGAGGAAGUGAUAGCUUUUCAACGUAACACCAUCAUCUGUAGCUCGAAUCGCAAAGUCGUCUUCAUGAAAGUUGUUCCUUAACUCGUGAAUUACAACAUAUCCAAAUUUGAGAAUCAUCGAAGCAGUACAACUCCAGAAAUUUAGAUCUUCAAAACACUAUGGCAACUUUGAAGUCUGCAGAAAUCCGACCAUCGUGUUUGGAGCUUCAAUACUCUUAACUUCCAUCGCUUAAACAAAAACAGUUCCUUCUUGAAGUUAUUCAUCUGCUCAAGAACUAUAAGAUGUCCAAAAUUCAGCUCCAUUGAAGAAGAGCAAAAGUUACAGGAAUUUGAUAGAUAGAAGGAGACGGAAGAGGGAGAGAGAGAGAGAGGUUGCUUGGGUUGGAUUUCUAGUUUGGGGGAGAUUCCAGUUUUUGUAGCACCUUCAUUACUGAUGAAUUUCUUGUACUUUUGUUCACCA